ensembl:lncRNA
CCUGCAUUUAAACAUGAGCCAUAGCCUAAUUUCUAAAGCUGCUCUAUAAACUCCGCUUGAGAGGCAGCACGAGCCAAAGAAGGAAGAAAACACGUCUGGGAAUGGCAGUGAAUGAAGCCCUCCUCCACAUCUGCUCCAGGCAGCAGCACAGAGCCCAGAGCAGCCCACACAGGCCUACCUGGAUCCAGGCCUGCACCUCUCUGCUCCAGUGCCGACAACACAGGGCAAGGCCUAGCCUGUAAAGCUCAGCUCCGUGUCUUGGGCCUAUGUGGGGAAUCCUGCUACC